AGAAGCAGGCCAGACGUAAAGUGACUUCUAGUCCAGAAUCUUCAGAGAGUCUGAGUGGAACAAGGAGGCAGAAGGAGCCGUAGCAGAAACUGAGGAGUGGAUACAAAAACAAACACCGAGAUUCCCAAGCAUAGAGGAACAAGGCCAUCCCACCACCGUCCCCAGCAAGUAGCUAGAACCUUGUCCUCCAUCCACACCCUCAGCUAAACACUGCAAGGUCCCAGGCUCAUUCAUCGCAGCUCCAAGGAACCUGGCCAGAUUGAGAUCGAGCUUGUGUAUGAAUCUCCAGGUCAUGCUCUGAUGGGCAAAUGGCUGAGCCUCUAUGACCCAGCUAAUCUCAAUGCCGGACUAAGGGGCUAUGUGAAAGUUCACCUCUGUGUCCUUGGAGCUGGAGAUCAGGCGCCGGUAAAAAUCUUUACAUUACAACAUCUUCACCACCUCAACAGAGGCUUGUCACGGGCAUUCAAGUUCAUGUGAUGCCAUUGGCAGCUAUUAAAAUGAUGGGGUGC